rnacentral:pre_miRNA from 14 species
GUCUCAGGAUCGCGCGCCCCAGGAAACACCGAUCCCGGACGAUCCCCCAAAUGAAAGAUCCUUGAAGAGAGACCCUUUCUAAAGUCUUGGGAAAUCGCGGACCCCAGACACAGAGAGACCA